GAUGAACGCUAGCGACAGGCUUAACACAUGCGAGUCGAGGGGCAGCACAGGUAGCAAUACCGGGUGGCGACCGGCGCACGGGUGAGUAACGCGUAUGCAACUUACCUAUCAGAGGGGGAUAACCCGGCGAAAGUCGGACUAAUACCGCAUGAAGCAGGGGUCCCGCAUGGGGAUAUUUGCUAAAGAUUCAUCGCUGAUAGAUAGGCAUGCGUUCCAUUAGGCAGUUGGCGGGGUAACGGCCCACCAAACCGACGAUGGAUAGGGGUUCUGAGAGGAAGGUCCCCCACAUUGGUACUGAGACACGGACCAAACUCCUACGGGAGGCAGCAGUGAGGAAUAUUGGUCAAUGGCCGAGAGGCUGAACCAGCCAAGUCGCGUGAGGGAUGAAGGUUCUAUGGAUCGUAAACCUCUUUUAUAAGGGAAUAAAGUGCGGGACGUGUCCCGUUUUGUAUGUACCUUAUGAAUAAGGAUCGGCUAACUCCGUG
rnacentral:rRNA from 1 species